rnacentral:rRNA from 1 species
CAAAAGAGUGGGAAGAGCUUUGAGUAGAGGUGAUAAACCUACCGAGCACAGUUAUAGCUGGUUGCCUGAGAAAUGAAUAGGAGUUCAGCCCUUUAAGAUUCCCCUCCCACCCAUGCGCAUGCUAGAGUUGAUAAAGGAAACUAAAGGAGUUAAUCAAAAGGGGUACAGCCCUUUUGAUAAAAGAAACAACUUUAACAGGUGGUUCAGGAUCAUAUUACACAAGGACUUCAAAUUAAGUGGGCCUAAAAGCAGCCAUCUUAACAGAAAGCGUUAAAGCUCAAAUUAGAAAUAAUCCUCAUAUACUGAUAGUUUGUCCUCCCCCCUGCCCUAUAUCAGGCUGUCCUAUGCCCCCAUAGGAACAAUUAUGCUAAAAUGAGUAAUAAGAAGAACCCGGUUCUUCUCCUAGCACAUGUGUAAGUCGGAACGGACCCUCCACCGACUAUUAACCGCCUCCAAACCCAGAGGAAAAUAAGAAACAUAAACAAGAAAAACACUUAAAUUUUGAUCGUUAACCCUACACAGGUGUGCUUAAAGGAAAGACUAAAAGAAAGGGAAGGAACUCGGCAAACACAAGCCUCGCCUGUUUACCAAAAACAUCGCCUCUUGACUAUAAAAAUAUAAGAGGUCCCGCCUGCCCUGUGACUAUAAGUUUAACGGCCGCGGUAUUUUAACCGUGCGAAGGUAGCGUAAUCACUUGUCUUUUAAAUGAAGACCUGUAUGAAUGGCAUCACGAGGGCUUAGCUGUCUCCCCCUUCCAGUCAAUGAAAUUGACCUCCCCGUGCAGAGGCGGGGAUAACUACAUAAGACGAGAAGACCCUGUGGAGCUUUAGACCUAAAGUAAUUCACGUUUAAUAUACUGCACAAACCAGUAAAAACUUAGUGACAUUUAUUGAGGUGUCUUUGGUUGGGGCGACCGCGGGGAAAAAUUUAACCCCCAUGUGGACCGGGGAUACUAUCCCUAAUACUCAGAGCCUUCUACAACAAGUAACAGAAAUUCUGACUUUUCUGAUCCGGUAUUUAACCGAUCAACGAACCGAGUUACCCCAGGGAUAACAGCGCAAUCCCCUCCCAGAGCCCAUAUCGACGAGGGGGUUU